UUUAAGGAAAAGGCAUCUUUGUUGAAAUUGGAACGGGUCAAGGGUGAAAAGGUGAGGUGAGGCAGAUGUCGUUCUGUGUAUUGCAGUAUCCCAAGAUCUACAACAUCUCGGGGGAAUGGUAAGCUUAAUACUUAGUUGUUGAGUGCCUGCCCUAUGAAUCUUUGGGGUGUUAUUUGUUAUGUAUGUAUCACUAAAAGAGUAUUAAGCUUUCCCCACACUGUCUGGUUUGUCUCACUAGAGAAUGGCAAUUCUCUUUCCACCAGAAAAGAGUUUGUUUUGUUGAAGAAAUCCUGAAGUCACUUUCCAUAGUUGGCGUUUCGUUUUUGAGCUUCAGGGUGCCUUCUGAAGCUGCUGGGAGAGAGGACUCUUGCAGGAUAGCCAAAAGGCCGGCACUACCCAUGUCUAGGUUAGACAAAGAUAGAAACAUGCUUCUGGACUCCCUCCUGGGCUAAAACUACUCAUUGGCAUCAGAAACUCUUUUCUGUUUUUAAAAAUUCCUGUAGCCUGUAAUUUGCACACUAAAUUUGUCUGUGUUGGUACUGGCAUCAGUUAACGCAAUCUCUUUUUCCAAUGCAUGGCUCACCCACACAUUUGCGGCUACAAGUCCAAUUUGACCCCUAGCCUGGGAACCUCUAUAUGCUGUGGGAAGCGGCCCUAGAAAAGGCAAAAAGACCAAAAAAAAUUAAUGAUAAUAAAAUAAAAUGCACAUUGGGGAGUUCCUGUGGUGGCUCAGCGGGUUAAGAACCUGACUUGUAUCCUUGAGGAUGCAGGUUCCAUCCCUGGCCUUGCUCAGUGGGUCAGGGAUCCAGCAUUGCCCAUGAGCUGUGGUGUACGUUGGUGAUGCGGCUUGGGUCCAGGGUUGCUGUGGCUGUGGUAGAGGCCUGCAGCUAUAGCUCCAGUUUGAUCCCUAGCCUGGGAACUUCCAUGUACUGCAGGUACAGCCCUAAAAAGACAAAAACAAACAAACAAACAAAGAAAACAAACAAAAAACAGAAAUUCACAUUGGGGUUUAUUUUCCUCGGACCAGGUGCAUUAUUAUACUUCUUUUACAACAAAGGAAACUCCUUCGCCGGAGAUGGUGCCCCAGAGAAAUGGAUUGAACUGAAUUCUGCGGUAGGAAGAGCACCAAUCUUAUAGGCGUCCUUUGCUUCUUUCCUUCUGUCUUCCUCCCUCACCCUCACCCCCUUCAAGUCUAUUCUGUUAAUCUAUUGAUGUUGCCUUCAUAGGGUUUGACUGUGGGUUUCCAACUGCCCCUAGGGCACUCACAGACCUUUCUCGUUGUGAAACCAAAAACCACUCUCCCCGUCCUUCUGGCUCAUCCUGACUGCUCCUGUUGAAACACCUUGAAAUCCUCAGGCUUGUGAGGCCUCAGGUGGUUACUGAUCUUCAGCAUCUCAGAUAUCUGUAGAGGGAGCAUGAUCGUAGUACCUGGGAGUUGGGUUCUUUCGAGUUUUAGAUGAGUAUGUAAAGCUCUUCCAAACAGGCCAGAUAUAAGUAGGGGUUUUACUGUACAUACAGUGUUUUUGUUUGUUUGUUUGUUUUUCUUUUCUUUUCUGGCCACCCCAUGGCACGUGGAGUUCCUGGGCCAGGGAUCAGAUCCACAGCUGUGACCUAAGCUGCAACUGUGGCAAUGGCUGGGUCCUUAACCCACUAUACCAGGCUGGGAUUGAACCUGUGUCCCAGUGCUCCCAAGGUACUCCUGAUCUCGUUGUACCGCAUUGGGAACUCCCAGUGUUAGCUGUUUUUGUUCUUACUGUUCCUGCUCAUUCCCUCACUCAUGACCAAAACUCUCAAAUGCCGGGCAUCGGUUCCCCAGGAGCAUCUCGUGUGGCCUGAGUCUGGCCUCCCUUGGCCUGUGUCCCCCACCCCCCGCAUAGUCAUCUAUUCCAGCAGCUGGCCUGGCUGGGGGGCCCUCCUUCCUCUUAGAACUACAUUGUCCUUCUCAUCUGGGCUUCUUUCCUCUCGCUUUCCUUCCCCUAUUGUUGUGAUUAAUCCUCUAGCCCAUUUCUCCAGUUUCUGGGCUUGAACAAGUCCCCCUUGUCUGCUUCUCUUCCCCCUUGGUUGCCUCCAGCUCUCUUCCCCAUCCCUCCCUGUCUUUCUUCUGCUUUUUUCCUCCACCUUCCAUCUCCCCCAAUUCCCACCCCAUGUUUCCUUAUUAAAACAACUUAAACCUUGGGAGAAAGGUUGCAGUUUUAUCAUAUUCCUAGUGGUCUAGCAUACAGCAGGAGUGUGUGACCACCAGUGAGACUGAAAAUUUAUAGUAGCAAGAAUAGUAGGUUGAGAGGACCCGAAGGUACCUCAUCCUGACAAAUGUGCAAAGUAGAGGGUAAUAGAGUUUAUGAAACCUGCGUUGCUUCACAUAAUUCAAUGGUGGAGGGGCAGGAGUUAGAGGAAAAGGAUGAACAGAAGUACUUAGGGUAGAAACCUGCAGCAUGUAGUUUUUGCUUAAUGAUGCCAAAGAAAUUUCCUCUUCAUUUUUAUGGAAAAAACGUAUUUUAAAUUCUAGAAACUUCUACCUGCCUGUCUCUUUCGAUGUGUGCAUGUAUGUGUGUGAGUAUGUGUGAUGUGCGUUUGUAUUUUAAAACACAGUCAUUUACUAUGAAACUGCGGCAGUUAAAUAGUAUAUGUUGUCACUGCAAGGGAGAUAUUUUAAUACUACAUAUUUAACUGUUCUCAUGAAACACAAUCUACCGUUUUUGAAUAUGUUCCUUCCCUUUUGUGGCUUUUCACUCAUUUUACUCCAAAUUCCCUGUAAAUCUUACUAAGAAUGAAGGUAAAUUAAACAAGGCCCUGGUGUUUUGAUAGAUUUCUUCAAGAUCUGGUUCCCAGCUUUUAUUUACUCCUGGGUUUGUCUGAUAAAACCCUGGCAUGCUUAAAAAUUUUUUUUUUAAACUUCAUCUAAUAAUUGAUGAGACACUGAUGUUUGCAAUUGCACCAUAUCCAGAAUUGCAAGCGUAAGAAAAAAAUAAGGCUACAGGAGCAUUUUCCUUUAACAUGUUGGGUAAUAAUUCUUUCUUUUUGAAGUGAGUGGUGGCCUCUCUAGGAAGGAAACGGUGUUUCUCUGUGAGGCCAGGGCGAGGUCUCUUGGCUCCAAGAACAGAUGCUUACAAAUGAGCUCGUUGGCCUCCCCAGAUACUAGGAGAGGACUGAGGGUAAAUACAUACAGUCCCCCUUUUCCAACUGUCACCUUCCUUUCUGCCUUCAGUGCCCAUUGAUGUUGAGCAGGUGAGAGUGGAUAAAUAAUUUAUAUCAUAGUAUCCGCUUCAUCAGAAAUCCGUAAAGAUUUCUUGAAGGGUUUAGAUCUAAAAAUCUUUCUGAAUUAAGCCCUAAAUUAUUAAUAUUGUGAAACUAGGGUCUCUUUCUUGCCUGUGCUGUGUAUGCUGCUAUAUUUUGAAACGGAACGAUUCGUGGACCCCUCCACCUAUUGUUCCUCUUUUUUGGUCUAAUGCAGACAGCACAGAGGAAAUGGAAAGUUCUCAGCAUUUUUACAACCACUGCUAGAUGUCUUUUAUGGGCCUGAUAAAUUCAGUAGACAAAAUCAAAGUAGUUAGUCUCUUGGGCUUUAGUGUUCUCAUCUGUAAAAUCAGGAGAUGCACUGAAGAUUCUUUCUAGCUUUAGAUUGUGUAAUUCUUUCUUUCAGAAUUUGUGUGGAGUUUAUAACAUUGAUGGGAACUAAAGUUUAGGCCAGUAAAACAAGACAGAAAUCAGGUUCUCAGACACAGGGUGAUUUUUUCAGCCUAGUGUCUGCCAGUCCAAGCCUUGUUAUAACCACAGUGUGGCAAGAUCUGAUGUCCUAUUAUUAUUUCUUUCACUUGAGAAUGCUUCAGCUGCCGAGAUCUAUCAUAGAAGUUGUUACACUGUGAGUUUCCCCAUAUCCAUCAGAAGAAGAAAAUCCAUCAUGCUUUUGACUAGUUUUUCCUCUCCAAGAAAAUGAUGUUUAAGAGAAUGACAUGUAAUAUAGACUUAACUAUUCUUAAGGCAUUGAAGAAACUGCAUCUGAAAUAAAAUCAAUACAUGAUGCAGUAGUUUAUUUACAUUUAAAAUAUUGAAUGGCAAAGCGUUUUAUCAAAGACUUUGGGACCAAAUAUGCAUUCUAGAGCUACACAGAGUCAAAAGGAUAAAAGGUAGAAGAGAAAGCGGCAGAGUUACUGUGUAGUUGUGGUACAAUUACUCUGUGUAUCUCAACUACACUAACAACAGAAAUGUAGAUAUUAGGGUUGGUAUGUUUAGAGAUUUUUAAAUUUCAUCCUAUAAUAUUGAUUCAAGUUAUAAUAGUUACCAGGCAACUAAGAGGAACAAAAGCACAGUCUUACCCUUCAUAUUUCUAGUUUUAUUUUGCAUUGCAUUCUGUUUUAUAGGUAGGUGAAUAAAUUAUGUGUUGCUGUUACACCUUUUUAGAUAAGUCCUUUUUUUUAAUGUUCUGUAGCAGUUUAUAUAGCAUGGAAAUUACUCGUCCUUGAAAUUCAAAAUAAUUGGCCAAUAAAAUUGAAUGGGCACUGAGGUUUUUUUUUUAAUUGGUGUAAAUUACUUUAUGCAUUUCUUAAUUUCUUCUAUUUACUGGUUUCUUUUGAGAAUUGAAAUCUGUAUAGAGAACCAUCAGUUACUUUAAGAUUUUAAAAUUUUACCAUGAAUCAUUUUGCAAUAUGUGUAUGUAUUGAAUCAUUGGAUUGUGUUAAAUUUGCUCAAUGUUACGUGUCAAUUAUAUCUUAGUAAAGCUGGAAAAAAAGACCAGAAUUUGUCAGGAAAUUUUACAUUAGGUAACUGUAAUUUACUUAAUAAAAAUUUAGACAGUUUUUUUCUGAUUUUAUUUGUGUUUUCUCUUUUUCUUUGAUUAGAUCUGUUUAUUCUCCCCUCCACAAAAUCUAGCUCUUGGAUUCCUUUAUUUAUGCUGAUGCUUUUUGGUUUUCUGUUUACUUUUUGAUGGGAUCCUUAAUCUUCUCCUCCAGCUUUCCUAUUGUAUGUAUUUCAGUGGCUCCCAUUCUGAUAUAAGGAGGUCGACCUGAAACUCACCUGCCUGACACCCCCCCCCCCCCCCGCCCCCGCACUGGCCUCUUCUGUGGCUCUUGGUCUCCAUUCUCAUGAGGAAGGAUGUGAGAAUUCGUGGGCCUGUGUGUCUCUCUGGCUCUUCCUGUACAUUUUGCAUCACCUGGCUUCAACUCUCAGCACCAUUGCUGCUCCUAGGCUCAUAGUUUACAGCCGUUGUCACAGUGCUGGGUUCAAAAAGGGCAUGCCCUCCCCUUUAUCACCCUAGUCUGAGCUUGGAUGGAGACCCCUCCCCUAGUUCCUCAAAGAUUUCUAAAUUGAGGCUAUAACAUUUAACAUGACUUGAUCAAAGUUUAGGCUAAUUGGAGAGAACUGUAGCCCAGAAUUAGCUGCAAGAUAUGACGAUUAUGGGGCUUCACGUGAGGUUGGAUUUUAGGCUUGAUGUGUCUCCAUGGGGUGGAAGUCAGUGUUCUCCACCAUCCUUGUACCUAUAAGUGAAUCUAUCCACUUGAGAGUUCAGGCCAAAGUCUCCCUCGAAUUAGAGAAAAAAAGGGAGUUUUAUUCUCAGCCUAAGACCUUUCUUUCUUGAUUUCCCCUUUUAGGAUCUACCUCUUCCCAGGAUGACUGAUGGAAAGAAUAUUCAGUUCCAUCAAAGGAACCAUCCAGCUUACCCAGAGUGUUAGUCCCUUAACCUAUAGCAGCUCUAGCCAGACAACCACAGAACCCAGUGGUCCAGACAUUUUUAGCUUUGUGGACACAGGCUUUGAGUCAUCUGUGAACACUAUGAAACUGUGUGUAAAAUUUUUUUCUGGGGAGCAGAUUUACAGCAUUUAUCAGAUUAUUACAAUGAUCUGGCAUCUCCCCUAAAGAUUAAGAAUCACUUCAGGCGUUCCAUUUGUGGCUCAGUGGUUAACGAAUCCAACUAGGAACCAUGAGGUUGCGGGUUGGAUCCCUGGCCUUGCUCAGUGGGUUGAGGAUCCGACGUUGCCAUGAGCUGUGGUGUAGGUUGCAGACACGACUUGGAUCCUGUGUUGUUGUGGCUCUGGCGUAGGCUGGCGGCUAUAGCUCCGAUUAGACCCCUAGCCUGGGAACCUCCACAUGCCUCGGGAGUUGGUCCAAGAAAUGGCAAAAA
rnacentral:lncRNA from 1 species